rnacentral:rRNA from 1 species
GGAGCUGUGGCGGCCCUGUGUAGAGACCAUUCAGGACUUUACUUGGGUUCUUCGGCUGUGGUCUUCCAAGGAAUUAAUGAUCCACUGAUUCUGGAAACGUAUGCUUGUCGAGAAGCUCUAGCUCUUGCGGAGGAUCUCGCCGUGCAAAAUAUUUUGGUGGCCUCAGAUUGUCAAGAAGCGGUGAACGACAUCAACAAAGGGACAUGAGGUCCUAAUGCUGCCAUAGUACAUGAAAUAUCGGCUCGUCGUAAUAGUUUUACUAGUACUUUCAUUCAUAAACGUAGAAACUUUAAUUUUGAGGCUCACAAACUCGCCAAGUUCACUUGUAAUUUAGGUGUAGGUCGACAUAUUUUGUUGGGCAAUCCUCAUGACCCAAACCUUGUACCUAUGACCUUUGCUUUGGUUGAAUAA